GGACAUGUACGCACGCGCAAACCACCGUUACCUCAGGUCCAUCCAUUCAUUGUGUGGUUUUGAGUAAGUAUGAAAUUCCGUCUCUUUCCAUAGAUACGAACACAUGCUUCGAUCUAUUUUCAGGAUAUUUUAUUCGGCGUUCGUGGUUAAUUCAAGGAGGACUCUGUUUAUCAGGUUAAUAUACAGAAACAUCAAAUGCAACAAAAUUUCUUCUCUAAUUCUGUAGGAUAUCAAGGCUUAAUAGAUCAUGUGUUGCUAUCGCAAAUUUUGAAACCAUCGUAUCUUUUUGGUCUAUCUACCAACGUCAUGGAACUGGCCCCAUAGAUGUAUACCUAUAUUGUUCAGAAAUUUGUCUCAGUACUGAGAUAGUAAGAUGUAAAUCUAGCUAACUUAUCUAUCUUCCAAGUGCCGUUGCACUGUUUAGUACUUUUGUUAACUUAACCUUUUUGGUUGCAAUGUGAUCUCUGUUAAUCACAUUAUGUACGCAUAAGAUUACUUCCGAUUUCGACCAAUCCUCUAAUGGCCACUGGUUAGUUCCAGUAUAUAUAAUGGCAAAUAUAGAAGUGUGCUUUACAAAACUUUGGCACCAUAUGAAUCAUGGUACAUGCACACAUGUUUGUCUUGGCAUCGCAGAGAUGGUGAAGCCCGGCAAAAUGGUUGUUCCUAGAUAUAUAGAAGUGUGCCUUACCAAACUUUAGGCACCAUAUGAAUCAUGGUACAUCCAAGUACAUGCUUGUCUUGGCAUUGCAGAGAUGGUGAAGCUCAACAAAAUGGUUGUUCCAAGAUGUCUCGAUGAUAGCUGCAAGAAAUUGGCAAGCAACUUUAUGAGUUCAAAAAUCCCUUGAGGUACCAUUGAACUGUUGUUCUUGAGCUAAUACUUUGUCCCAUGUCAAUUUUUUGAUUUUUAACUCUUAUUUGAUUUUGGGACUUAGGGAGUAUUCAUUUAAAUUCUUGUACAACAUUUUUUUCAUGGAGCUUACCUUUGAGAUUUCCAUUGGACAUUUUUAUUAUAACACCUGGUUCAAGCAUAUUUUGUGGAGUUCUCAUUGCUUUUAUGUUUUCCUAGGAAACUUAAUUUAUUAAUUUCGAUUCAACAAAUAUGUGAUGAGUUGUUGCUUGAUUGUAGCUACAUGGCUAUCAAAUAAAAAAAGAAGCAUGUAUUUACAAGGCACAAUGUAAUACAAUUGGGCAUUUUGAAGUGGCUUCGAUCUCCGCAAGUGCAUGUUGAUUGUUGUGCUUGGGUAAGGUAUGUCUUUGAUGCCUAGCUCCGGUAAUUUAGUGUUUUUUUGUCUAAUUCGAGUUUGUGGGUUGGUAAUUCCAAAAUUUGGCACCUCCCUUUUCCUGAUUAUCUACUGGAAAGUGUCGUCUAUUAACACCAUACUGAUUCUCCUGUUUUAGUGCUGAUAAGGUAUAAAUUUUAGGCAUUCGCACUCCGCUUGUUACUAUUCUCCUGGAGGAUCCACAUCAACUGCAGUUCUUCCAUUGGGCAAACAACCUCAGGUAUGGAAAGACAGGUUUCUUCCGCUCGACUACAUCUCAUGUUGUAUAUUUCCUCAAUUCAUUUCCAGAUCCUAAUGAAUGGGAUGUAAAUAUGUUUAAUUCAGAAAUAAUGUUCUGCCUACUGUUUGGGUUAGUAAAAAAUGUAACUAAUUUAGCGGAUGGUGUUAUUUGAUGCCAUAUUAUUGGAUUUUUCCUCUGGUGUUAUGGAUAAUCUGAUCUAUAAUUUGUAUGAUGUAUAACCAUCAGUUCAGUAGAUGAUUCAUUUAUAUUAUUUCAAAGGUUUGGCAAUGAAGAGCCUGUUUUACUUAAUUUUUCUAAGAGGGGUUAAAGUUAUGAACAUGAUUCAUUGAAAAUUGGCAUAAGAACAUCAUGAAUUUGUAAAUAUAGGAUUUUUACUUUCUAGGUCUAUUUCUCUAUGGUCAUGCUUCUUAAUUCGAUUUUACCUUCUAUGGUUCAAACUAGACAAGAGUGUUAUCCUUUGUUUAGCAUGCCUUCUUUUCUGGUAAUUUUUAUAGAUAUAUCUGAAUUUUAGUUGAGUAAACAAGUAUGACUAAAAAUAAACUCAAACAUGAAGCAAAAGCUUUGCCGUUUUGAUUAAGCUUAAC
rnacentral:lncRNA from 1 species